rnacentral:rRNA from 1 species
CUACGGGCGGCAGCAGUAAGGAAUAUUGCGCAAUGGAGGCAACUCUGACGCAGCCAUGCCGCGUGCAGGAAGAAGGCCUUAUGGGUCGUAAACUGCUUUUAUUUAGGAAUAAACCCCCGAACGUAUUCGGGGCUGAAGGUACUAAACGAAUAAGCACCGGCUAACUCCGUGCCAGCAGCCGCGGUAAUACGGAGGGUGCAAGCGUUAUCCGGAUUUAUUGGGUUUAAAGGGUGCGCAGGCGGGCUAUUAAGUCAGUGGUGAGAUCCCGGGGCUCAACUCCGGAACUGCCAUUGGUACUGAUAGUCUUGAGUUUGGUUGAAGUGGGCGGAAUGUAGCAUGUAGCGGUGAAAUGCAUAGAUAUGCUACAGAACACCAGUCGCGAAGGCAGCUCACUAAGCCAAAACUGACGCUCAUGCACGAAAGCGUGGGGAUCAAACAGGAUUAGAUACCCUUGUAGUC